ACUACAAGUGGCUGCUGUGCCAAGGAAGACAAUUUGCAUAGAAAAUACACUUUGCAUUGGCAGCACAUGCUUCAGUGCUCUGGGAGUGUUUAUAGCCCUGUGAGUUUAACACUUCAUGAUUGAGAGCUGCCCUUCAUGGCAACAGAAUCCACAACAACAAUGACUUUUAUCAGCAUCUUCAUCUGGGCACUUGUCAUCUGCACUCAGGAAUCCAGUGGACAGUAUACUGUGACUCAGACUCCAGCAGUGAAAUCUGUUCUCCCAGGAGACACAGUCGCUCUGAGCUGUAAAGUCAGCAGCGCAGUAUACAGUAACAACCGCCUAGCCUGGUACCAACAGAAACCUGGAGAAGCUCCCAAACUCCUGAUCUACUUGGCAAGUACCCUUCAGUCUGGGAUCCCAACUCGUUUCAGUGGCAGUGGAUCUGGGACUGACUUCACACUGACCAUCAGUGGAGUCCAGGCUGAAGAUGCAGAAGAUUACUACUGUCAGAGUUACCACUACCCCAGCAGUAGAGAUGUG